CCUACGGGAGGCAGCAGUGGGGGAUAUUGCACAAUGGGGGGAACCCUGAUGCAGCGACGCCGCGUGGGUGAAGAAGCGCCUCGGCGCGUAAAGCCCUGUCAGCAGGGAAGAAAAUGACGGUACCUGAAGAAGAAGCCCCGGCUAACUACGUGCCAGCAGCCGCGGUAAUACGUAGGGGGCAAGCGUUAUCAGGAUAUACUGGGUGGAAAGGGGGCGCAGACGGCGAUGCAAGCCAGGAGUGAAAGCCCGGGGCCCAACCCCGGGACUGAUCUUGGAACUGCGUGGCUGGAGUGCAGGAGGGGCAGGCGGAAUGCCUGGUGUAGCGGUGAAAUGCGUAGAUAUCAGGAGGAACACCGGUGGCGAAGGCGGCCUGCUGGACUGCAACUGACGUUGAGGCCCGAAAGCGUGGGGAGCAAACAGGAUUAGAUACCCCGGUAGUC
rnacentral:rRNA from 1 species